GCUCGUAGUUGGAUUUCGGGCGUGGAAGUUCGGUCCGCCGUUUCGGUGUGCACUGUUGUUCUGCGUCUUUCUGCCGGGGACGCGCUUCUGGCCUUAAUUGGCUGGGACGUGGAUUCGGCGUGGUUACUUUGAAAAAAUUAGAGUGUUCAAAGCAAGCUAAAGCUCUGAAUACAUUAGCAUGGAAUAACGCGAGAGGACUCGGUCCUUAUUUUGUUGGUCUUCAAGGAUGGAGUAAUGAUUAAGAGGGACGGUUGGGGGCAUUCGUAUUUCAUUGUCAGAGGUGAAAUUCUUGGAUUUAUGAAAGACGAACUACUGCGAAAGCUUCUGCCAAAGACGUUUUCAUUGAUCAAGAACGAAAGUUGGGGGCUCGAAGAUGAUCAGAUACCAUCCUAGUCUCAACCAUAAACGAUGCCGACUAGGGAUUGGCAGGUGUUACAUCGAUGACUCUGCCAGCACCUUAUGAGAAAUCAAAGUUUUUGGGUUCCGGGGGGAGUAUGGUCGCAAGGCUGAAACUUAAAGGAAUUGACGGAAGGGCACCACCAGGAAAACGUAAAGUUCUAUAGUCGCAACUUUCCAUUCCCUGAAAACCAGCAGCCUUCGUGUCUCGCCCUUCCAUUAUCGGGGCGCGGAGGACUUCUCUGCUCUGUUGGUUAGUCACUCUUCACCACUUGUUGCUGUAUCAGGUGAAGGGUUGGCAAGACGUGCAAAUUGCGGGAAA
rnacentral:rRNA from 1 species